CCUCCACUCAUCUCCUUGCUUGAUCGCUAAUCUUAGUGAGAUUGAGUGAGAUUCAAGUGCAUUACAUUGAGAGUUGCAUCUAGUGGCACUUGAUCCUUGAGUUUGCUGCGGAUUUCUUGUUACUCUUGGGUGUUUUCUAACGCCCUAGAUAGCUUGGAGCAGCGGAGGUGUUGAGCUCAUGAUUGGAGAUUGUUUCGAGCCUCACCAAGUGA
rnacentral:lncRNA from 1 species